CUAACUCCGAGUUAGUGUGAGGCCUGAACGGCGAAGCAACAGGAGGAAGCCGGUGCGAAACCGGCGCGGUCCCGCCACUGUGACCUGGGAAGACCCGGGGAGUCAGGAACUCCGCACGCCGUCCCCUACGAC
rnacentral:ncRNA from 2 species